UUGGACCUGAUAUCAAAC
rnacentral:rRNA from 2 species